rnacentral:rRNA from 1 species
UACGUAGGGUGCAAGCGUUGUCCGGAAUUAUUGGGCGUAAAGAGCUCGUAGGCGGCUUGUCGCGUCGACUGUGAAAUCCCGCGGCUCAACUGCGGGUCUGCAGUCGAUACGGGCAGGCUAGAGUUCGGUAGGGGAGACUGGAAUCCUGGUGUAGCGGUGAAAUGCGCAGAUAUCAGAGGAACACCGGUGGCGAAGGCGGGUCACUGGGACGAUACUGACGCUGAGACGAAAGCGUGGGGAGCAAACAGG